UACGAGGGGUGCAAGCGUUGCUCGGAAUUAUUGGGCGUAAAGGGUAGGUAGGUGGUCUCAUUUGUCUGGGGUGAAAGCCUUAGGCUUAACCCAAGAAGUGCCCCAGAAACGGUGAGACUAGAGUCCUGGAGAGGGUCGUGGAAUUCCCGGUGUAGCGGUGAAAUGCGUAGAGAUCGGGAGGAACACCAGAGGCGAAGGCGGCGACCUGGACAGGUACUGACACUCAACUACGAAAGCGUGGGGAGCGAACAGG
rnacentral:rRNA from 1 species